GGUGGCGUAGCCAAGUGGUUAGGCAACGGUUUGCAAAACCGUCAUACGCGGGUUCGACUCCCGCCGCCACCUCCA
rnacentral:tRNA from 1 species